CAAUAGCGUAUAUUAAAGUUGUUGCAGUUAAAAAGCUCGUAGUUGGAUUUCUGGUCGGAAGCUCCUGUCCUCUGAUGAGCGUACAAGUGCGUCCUACCAUCCUUCUGUUAACCUUUAAGGCUUUCGCGGCUUUCUAGGGGCUCAGAUAUUUUACCUUGAGAAAAUUAGAGUGUUUCAGGCGGGCUAGCGCCGGAAUACAUUAGCAUGGAAUAAUGGAAUAGGACUUUUGCCUCUUCUGUUGGUCAUGAGGCUCGAGUAAUGAUUAAUAGGGAUAGUUGGGGGCAUUAGUACUUAACUGUCAGAGGUGAAAUUCUCGGAUUUGUUAAAGACUAACUUAUGCGAAAGCAUUUGCCAAGGAUGUUUUCAUUAA
rnacentral:rRNA from 1 species